AUCUAUGGCCAUACCACCCUGAACGCACCCAAUCUUAUCUGAUCUCAGAAGCUAAGCAGGGUCAGGCCUGGUUAGUACUUGGAUGGCAGAAAAUAUGGAGUAUAUACC
rnacentral:rRNA from 1 species